CACAAAAGUUUAAAAUUCAAUGAAUUUUCUGGUUUCCCUAGUGCAUAUUAAAGUUACAUUUAUACUAUACUAUAG